AUUGAACGCUGGCGGCAGGCCUAACACAUGCAAGUCGAGCGAGAAAGGCCUUCGGGCUGAGUACAGCGGCGGACGGGUGAGUAACGCGUAGGAAUCUACCUGGUAGUGGGGGACAACAUGGGGAAACUCAUGCUAAUACCGCAUACGCCCUAUGGGGGAAAGCGGGGGACCUUCGGGCCUCGCGCUAUCAGAUGAGCCUGCGUAGGAUUAGCUUGUUGGUGUGGUAAAGGCUCACCAAGGCGACGAUCCUUAGCUGGUCUGAGAGGAUGAUCAGCCACACUGGAACUGAGACACGGUCCAGACUCCUACGGGAGGCAGCAGUGGGGAAUAUUGCGCAAUGGGCGAAAGCCUGACGCAGCCAUGCCGCGUGUGUGAAGAAGGCCUUAGGGUUGUAAAGCACUUUCAAUUGGGAAGAAAGGUUGCGUGUU
rnacentral:rRNA from 1 species